UUUUCAUCAUCUCUCUAGAGGAAGAAAUUUGCUUUAUGACAAAGGAACAGCAAGGUUAUCAGCUGAGGUCACUACCCUAAUAUACAAUGUGCUGCACAGGAGAAGAACAUUGCUAGAAAUCAUCUCCUAGCCACACAAAGGCUUCCUUAGGAGGAGGACACAUUACCCUUGGAGCAAGAGAAAACAUAUACUGAAGUGAAAGCAUGUCAAAGAAGCCUGUGGCUGAAGAGGGAGUGAGGAGGAGAAGGUGAUAAAUUGAGCUGGACAGCAGCUGGCCUUUGAGAAGGCAGGUAAGGAAAAUGCUGUGAAAAAUACCAACAUUUCAAACAUGGACUGCUCAGAUAAUGCAUAUUACUGCCUCAGAGUCCUCUUAUUGUCUAUGUUUCAAAAAGCUG
rnacentral:lncRNA from 1 species